UUGGGUUGGACUUGAUUGGCAAACUCUGCUAAUCUGGGCUGCUCAUCCUUCUGCAAAUUGACUGGUGGACUCUAUUGUAGGUUGGGCUUGACUGAAACACCUUACUUGAAGACAAUUCUGCUCCAAAUGGCUAUUACCUUCCCCACAAGCCCAGUGAAACAGCUGAGGCAGUGGAAGUACAAGAACGUGUAAACUUAAUCCACCACCACGAGUGUUUGCUCCGCCAAAGACAAGUCCAACCCGGAAGUGAAGGGAGAAAGCCGCCAGGGACACCCAUUAACCACGGGGGAUGAAAGUCAGUGGGCAAGUGCUCUCACCGCGCCCUCAUCCAGGAACGAUGAUGGCUCUGAGGAUCAGCUUGCCGUUUCAAAGACAGAUCUCUAACUUGUAACUGAGGCUGGCUUUGCCUUGUGAGAUGCUUCAGGACCAAGAAUCUACCUUGACCCAUACUCAUCAGCUGCUGUUUCCAAAGUACUUCCACCUUUCUUAGCGGGGCUCUCCUUGGGUACCAGCACUGAGAAGCUGAUCAGAUCUGCAUAUGUCAGUCAUCACCUGCUUCCCAGCUGGUGAUAAAGGUGAGUCCUUACCGUGUUAAUCUCUGAGGCCGU